rnacentral:rRNA from 1 species
UAGAGUUUGAUCCUGGCUCAGAACGAACGCUGGCGGCAAGCCUAAUACAUGCAAGUCGAACGAGAAAGCUCUUCGGAGCGAGUAGAGUGGCGCACGGGUGAGUAACACGUAGGUAAUCUACCUCUUGGUGGGGAACAACAAGGAGAAAUCUUUGCUAAUACCGCAUAAGUUGGAAACAAGAAAGGGGGCUUCGGCUCUCGCCGAGAGAUGAGCCUGCGCGACAUUAGCUUGAUGGUGGGGUAAUGGCCUACCAUGGCAACGAUGUCUAGCUGGUCUGAGAGGAUGAUCAGCCACACUGGAACUGAGACACGGUCCAGACUCCUACGGGAGGCAGCAGUAGGGAAUAUUGCGCAAUGGGCGAAAGCCUGACGCAGCUAUGCCGCGUGAGUGAGGAAGGCCUUAGGGUUGUAAAGCUCUGUCCUAAGAGAAUAACGGCAUUAUGGUUAAUACCCAUAGUGCUUGAAGGUAUCUUAGAAGAAAGCACCGGCUAACUUCGUGCCAGCAGCCGCGGUAA